rnacentral:rRNA from 1 species
GGACCCGCACAAGUAGUGGAGCAUGUGGUUUAAUUCGAUGCAACGCGAAAAACCUUACCUACUCUUGACAUACUUGGAAGCUCUUGUAAUGAGAGUGUGCCUUUUGGAACCAAGAUACAGGUGCUGCAUGGCUGUCGUCAGCUCGUGUCGUGAGAUGUUCCGUUAAGUCGGAUAACGAGCGCAACCCUUACCCUUAUUUGCCAGCGAUUCGGUCGGGAACUAUAAGGGGACUGCCGGUGAUAAACCGGAGGAAGGUGAGGACGACGUCAAGUCAUCAUGGCCCUUACGAGUAGGGCUAUACACGUGCUACAAUGGGGAAUACAGACGGACGCUAAGCCGCGAGGUGGUGCUAAUCCUAGAAAGUUUCUCGUAGUCCGGAUUGGAGUCUGCAACUCGACUCCAUGAAGUCGGAAUCGCUAGUAAUCG